rnacentral:tRNA from 1 species
CUGCCCGUAGCUCAGUUGGAUAGAGCAUCUGCCUUCUAAGCAGAUGGUCGCUGGUUCGAAUCCUGCCGGGCAGGCCA